GGGACGGGUCUGCCUCGGGAGCCCGGCGUCCCGGGCGCUGGGCGGGAGAGGUGGGCACGCCUGUCUGCAGGGCGCUGGUGCUCGUGCAGGCAGGGCCCCGUGUCCCCGGCUCGAUCCCCCCUCGGAGACCGGCCCUGCUGACCAGUCCAGAGGAGUGGCUCGCAGGCCCCGGACACACCUCCCAGAAGGACCGAGGAGCAGUUCGCAGGGGCGGUCGGGGUGCGCCCCGGGACAGCAGGCCUGUCCUGGGGCGGCGGCUAGAGCAGAGAACCCAGCGCUUCUGCAGGGACCCAGCCUCAGCUGUUAGAGGCCUGGGCUCAGUGGAGGGGCGCUCGCCUGGCACCUGUGCGUACCUGGAUCUGAUCCUCAGCAAUGCAUAUAAUUAAAUAAAAUAAAGGUCCAUCAUCAACUACAAAAUAUAUUCAAAAAAAUGUCUUUUACAGGGAUCUGGAGAGUUUUUACAGUUAUCACCAACAUGUUUCCUGUAACACACAGUUUCUUGCCCGUCCCGGUGUAAGAGACUUGGGUUCCUCCAAGUACCCUCCACGGCGGACAGUCCGCCUACAGGCGGCCGGGAUAGGCUGCAAAACGUCCACAGGUGAUUUCAGGGAGGGGUGCUUGCUGGGUUACCCUAAGUCACUUUCUUUAUGCAGAGUAAAAGAUAAUGGAGUUCAUAUUUUACCAGGAGUGACACCAUAAAUGUAAUAACUAUAAAAAUACUUUAUUGUGAUGUGUAUAUUUUGUGUGCUAUUCCAUAAUCUUACUUAUUUCACUUUGGAGAAAUGACCAAGGAAUAAAAUAACUCUGAAAACAUUUUUAUAAGCAGUGAAUUAUAAAUUCCAUUCCCUAUAUAUAUGCUAAUUAGAAUUCCAUUACAAUCAAAUGAGUGUCUUCAGUCAGCCUGAAUUAGUGUCAUUGUUCUGAUUUGAAACAACAACAACAAAAAAUCAAGAAACAUCAGAUUUUAUCACUUCGUCCCCUCAGAAAGGUGAUUGAGCCACUGAGGUGCAUCCCAGUCUUUUUUACUUUAUUGGAGGCAGUCUAAGUUGCCCAGGCUGGCCGUACCCUUCUCAAGCUGGAGGUCACAGGCAUCUGCUGCCAUGCCUGGCUGAAAUAUAUAUUUUUUUCUUUUACACCAAAACUUCCUGUCAGUGUGUCUGAACAGCUUAUGGGUGUCAGGAGAGAUGCAAGUCUGUGUGGCUUCAUGGCCAACCCAUAAGACGUGCAAACAGCACUUCACGGAAAAUUAACUUUUUGCCAAACGUGGCAUUUGGGUGUUUGUUUUGGUUUUUGCAGUGACUUUAAAUGUGUGCAGAAAACAUUAAUAGGUGUCAGUCCAUGUGGUGCCAACAGUCACCUUUCUGAACCACUUCAGGGUGGUAAAUGAGAGCACUGGAGUAGGAGUCUUGAUUUGUCCCAGGCCCUGGUGCUAGUCUCUCCACUCACUCUAUGGCCCUGAGUAAGUCCCCAGUUCUUUGAACUUGACUUUGUCAUCUCUUGAGUGGGGCAGCUGGACUAGCCCAGUGGUUCUCAACCAAGGGUCAUUUUACCACCUACCCACCCUUGUCCCCAAGAGGAUAUUGGGUAAUGUCUGGAGACAUUUGCUUGUCGCACCACUGGGCAGGGAGGGGCAUAGUGAGUGAGGGCAGGUACUAAGGGCAUCUUUUUACUGUGGACCAGAAAUGCCACAAACAUCCUAAAAGUACACUGGACAACCUACACACAGCACAAGAUCAUCUUACUGAGAAUGUCAGUGGUGUGCACUACAGGAGCCUGCACUGUCCAGACUUUGACACCAACAGCUGAGCAGCUCCACCCGACACACUCUCCUCAGUGGUUGUGUGCUAAACAGUGACUCAUUAAACACGAAACUCGCCUGUGACCCCGUCAGACCUGCAGACUGAUGAACUCGCCUGAGUCAGGGUGGAGGUCCUUCCUGUGGACUUGAAAAGCAAAAUAUAAUUGUUACCUAAAAAUACAUCUUGUCACCUUUAUUUCAAGUUAAUAUCCUUUAUUAGCCACUUGACAUAACAUAUCUAAUAUGGUAAUAUUAGAUAUGUUAUAUUUUUUAAAACACUAUUGGGACUCAAUAUUUAAAGUUUAAAAAAUACAUUGCCAGCCCUUUUUAUUUUUAUACUAUGAGAUAGGGUCUCUAUAAGUUGCUGAGGGUGACUCUGAACUUGUGAUUGUCCUGCCUUCUGAGUCACCAGGAUUACAGGCUUGUGCCACAAGCCCAGCUUAUAUUUUUAUUUUACAUAGUUAUAAAAGCUUAUUAUUUCACAUAGUUAUAAAUAGUUGCCAGCUAUGAUCAUAGAUAAACAAGAAGAGGAAAACAAGAUACUUAAUAAUAUCUUUUUUUUAAAAGAACUUGUUAGAAGAGUCCUCCAAAUGUUAUCAAAGAAUUAUCCUGUUCCCAGUUAUUAAAAUAUCUUUCUCACUUUCAGAAUCCUAAUAGUACCAUUAAAACUGACUUGACGCCCAUAGUCACAGCUACCCAGAAAGUUGAGGCAGGCAGAUCACUUGGUCCCAAGAGUUCAAAGCCAGCCUGGGCGACAUAGAUCCUAUCUCAAGGGGGUGGGAGAUCACAUCACCAUGGACAAUUCUUUAUGAAUUCUGAAUCCUGACGUUCUAAUCAAGCACAGUGGCACAUACCUGUAAUCCCAACAGUAGGAGGAUCUUGAGUUUGAGGCUAGCCUCAGCAACUUAGCAAGAUCCUGUGACAAAAUAAAUGGGGAAAGAAAAAAAAGGACUAAAGCUGCAGCUCAGUUCUAAAGCACCCCAGGGCUCAAGCCCGGAACCAAAAGGAGGAAAGAGAAGUAUAUAAACCUACGUCGUUACGUUUUUUGUCUUGUUACUUUAAAACCAAGUGCAACUAUAUAAUUUAAAACAACUCAAAACUAAUUAAGAGAACUCAUCAAGUUCUUCCUAAAUUGGUUCUGAUUUACAAUUAUUAUCUUGAGCACAUAUUUUUAAGCAAACCCUUUAAAAUCUAUACACUGGUACUGAAAUUAAGCUUAGUUUGAAUAUAUACAGUAUAAUGUAAAUACUUCAGGAGAUUUAGUUUACAAGGUCAUAUUUUUUUUGCAAAAAUUAGCAUAAUACAGGCAUAUCUGAAGCAAAAUUUAAAUAUUCUCCCCUAUCCUAUUCCCAUUAAAUUUAGUGUGUACCUUUUUAGAUUUUUUUUUUUCUUUAUCAGUACAGGGGACUGAACCUAGAGGUGUUCUAACAGUGAGCUACGUCCCCAGUGCUUAUUACUUUGAGACAGGGUCUUGGAGCUCGGCCUCGGCUUCCUGAGUGCUGGGAUUAUAGGGGCGCACCCUUACACAGCCUUCAGGUUUUCUCUGCACAGUUUUAGCUAGCACAUAGAUUGGAUUGUCAAAUCAGGCUCACGUGAGUCAGUAAUAAAAGCCAGGAUUAAGGUUUAGUGAUUAUUUAAAGAAUACAGGCAAUUGGGAGAUUCCAGUGAAUCAGAAGAGCAUGUGGUACGUGAAAGCUCUCUCUCCAGGCUGUGUCCCCUAGUUGGUCCUGUGUCCCUGACCCAGGAUAAUAGAUAAGGGUUUUAAGUGAGUUUCACUUCACGCGGUGGAUUGUGAAUCAGCUUCUUGUAGUAUGGCUUACAUGAUGUUAUUCACAAAACAGUGCCUCAUCAAUUUUGGAUUUAUUUACUGCCAGUGACUCUUUGCCAGGGACAUCUUACUAAUGGGACUCAGAGAGGGGGUUUCUUCCUCCUAGCAACUACCAUUAAGCUCUUUUUCCCCCAUUAUUUUUUUAUUGGUGCUUUAUAGUUUCACAUAAUGGAGGGAUUUGUUGUUAAAUAUUCUUAGUUGCUGUGAUCAGGCUCUUAAUUCCAGGGCCCAGGAGACCUGGAGGCUAGGAAUUCCCGUGUCUAGGUGCCAGCCUCUGUCGAAGACCUUCUUACUACACCAUUCCAGGGCAGAGGGCAGCCAUGUGUGACCCCCUGUAUAACUGGUAUCAAUCUCUUGUGAAGGAGAAGCCCUCCUGACCUCAAACCUCCCUUUAGGCCCCUGCCUCCCAACACGGUUGCUUUGGGAAUUAAGUUUUUCACACAUUUUAGGGGAACAUGUUAAGACCAUAGUAGAUCCUAAUUAUAAACUGGCAAACUUCUGUAAAAUAAAUUUAAACUGUUAGGAACUUUAUAUUGAAGUUCAGUUCUCAGUAUUAUUGUAGUCGUUUUGGGAUAAAUUACUUAUUAUGAGGAAAAAAUGUUUCGCACAUGUUCUAGAAGUUAUAUGUAAGUAUAGCUUAAAGGGGCUUGAGGAGCCUACUCAAUGAGAUUUGUGUGGGUACAUUUACAGCAACUGUGGGGAGGACAUUAGUGCUGUGGGGUCAUCUUGGAGUAUCUACAGGGGAUUGGACCUCCCCAAAUAGAGCAAAAUCCACAGUCCUUCAACUGUGUCCGAUAAAAUGCCAUAGUGUCUACACACAGCCCACACACGUCCUUCAGUGCUGUAAGUCACCUCUAGAUGCUCAUAUACCAGAUACACGUAGAUGCUUGUAAUCAGUGGCGAUACUGUAUUGUUUAGGAAAUAACGACAAGAAAAAAAGGUCUGUACGUGUUCGGAUAGACAUUCAAACACAUCCAACCAUGGUUGGUUGGGUCCGAGGAUGUGGACCCACAGACAUGGAGGGCCUGCUGCAGCUGAAGUCAGCAGCACCAUAAAGUGGGCUACAUUUCUUGUGAUUGCUCUAAAACAAAACACCAGGAUGAUCUCUUACCCACUCUUCAAUAUCGGUGUUCCAGAUCACGUCCCAGAAGUCCAGGUCCCACAGUGCCCCUUAACCUUUCCUUCAGAGCAGUAUUCUGAACCAAAUCAAAAUGUGUCCGUAUUAGAGAUUUACUAAAUGUUUUCACAUUAAAAUUGCUGUUCUAAUGAGCACAAGAAGCUAUUGCUGUCGCCUGAAAGCACUUGGGAAAUGAAGAUUUGGGAUGGUUCAUGAAAUGAUGCUACUAGCUGAAGGUCAGAAACAUUGCCUUAGGUGUUUAAUCUGAUCCUGUCUUUGCCUCCCUUUACUUCCUCUAUAGGGACCACGUUAAAUGAACAAAGACUGAACUGUCACAGAUACUUUUUUAUAAAAGGCCUCCGUGGACUAUUGCUUCAGUCUGACUGAUAAACAAGUUCCUAUGAUGAGGUAAGUCGAACAUAAAGAGAACAGGACCUCCAGAAGCUUAAAUGGAGCAGGGAACUUCAGAGUGUCAUCUGUUUGACCCUUACAAGAACCCUAUGAAGGAGGUGCCCCUGUCCUCUUGACAGAUGGUGGGACUGGCUCAAGAGUGACUUACCCCUUUGGAAUUAGGGUUUAAACUCAAGUCUUUGUAACUCCAAAAUUCAUUUGCUUUCCCCAUGUCUUCCACUGGAUCCAGAAAGCCCCUGAAUCCUUAGUUCUUAUAGUAUCAUAAAGCUUGAGCAGGAACCUAUUAAUCUGGAUCAAGGCCCAAAGAGGCUUCCCUUGUAGUAGUUGAAGGUUAUGAAUAUGAUAUGUAGCAGUCUCACCCUUGACCUAGGCUUUUGUGUGUGUUUGUUUGUUUGUUUAGAAUUUUUAGUCUUAGAAUAUAAGAGUGUUAAAAACACAAGGUAAACAUUUACUAGUCAGUCAGGCACAGUGGCACACAUCUGUAAUCCCAGCAACUUGGGAGGCUGAGGCAGGAGGAUCACAAGUUCCAGGCCAGCCUCAGCAACUUAGCAAGACACUGUCUCAAAAACUAAAAAUGGCUGAGGAAGUGGCUCAGUGGUAAAGCAUCCCUGGGUUUAAUCCCCAGUAACCAAAAAAAAAAAAAAAAAAAACACAAAAUCCAUUGGCCCUACUUUCUUAGUUUAUAGCCAAAGAAACUGAGACCCAGAAGAGAGGGAUUCUCCUUAACUAGUCAUGGGCAUGACAGAGCCUGCAGGUGAGAUGCGAUCCUGCCCGUGCCCAUUCCCUUUGUGGGUGGGGCUCCCAGUGGAGUCUUCCCUGUGUGGGGAUCUCCUGGAGAAAGGGCCGUCUUGUACUCUCCUGCUUUGCCUGGCACAGGAAGCCAUCUUUCCCACGCUGACCCUUUCAUUCUCCUAAGACCGGACAAGCUGUUGGAUCUCUUAGGUCUGGUACCUGCAGACCAGGAGGACACAUUUACUGACCUGAAGCACAAAGCCAGCUUUGCAGCUCUGAGGAGCGGCUCUAUUUUCACCCACCGGUGAGCUUGUAGAAACUGCGGUUUAGUUCACGUAAGGCUGAGAUAGAGCACCAUGAUUGCAGGCACGUCUUGGCCUGGGAUGGAGUGGACUCGGGUCUCCGCUCUCCUAUGAAUUGUUACCUCUCUGUUCUCUCAACCUGCAGAGUGGGGUUGAUGAUCUGUGUGUUGCCAUAGUUGUGAGUAUGUCUAGUCUGAUCCUUUCCCCACAACGAAAGCCAGGACUGUUGAAGACAUGACCACAAGAUUCUACAACUAUAAAGUAACAGUCAAUAUAGGAAGGCGUGUAAAUACAAGACAAUAAAAACCACUCGCAGCUGUACUCUGAAAAUGUUUGCAUCUCCUUCUCCCUAUAUCAACGCUUUAGUUACAUGGUCAAUUUAAACUAAUUUGGAGAUUUGCCCUGGCUUGAACCUCUAGAGGCCUCUUCAUCCUCCUAGGUUGGAGGUAGGUAGUGCCAGGCAGCUGCAACAGCUCCAUGACGUACGUCGUGGAGAGGACCAGAUUGGUCCUUGGGGCACUGGCUCCCCUCCCCAUGCCCAGGAUACUGAGCUCUGCCCAGGUGUCUCGUUCCAGCAGCAGGAGGGAGGAGCUCUGCUACAGCCCUGCAGGGCCUUGAGCUUUCUUUCAGAAUUUAUUCAGAUGACCGAAUCUUUAAGAGUGGCCAGGAAAUGUCAUCUUCUAACUAGACAUAUUGCCUAAGGUUUGUUACUAAGGAAGGGCAAAGUAUUUUGAGAAGCAGCUAGUCAUUUCUCAUAAGUAGGAACAUAGCUAGGUACAGUGACACAUGCCUGUGAUCUCAGUGACUUAGAAGCUGAGGCUGGAGGAUCACAAGUUUAGGGCUAGCCUGGGCAACUUAACAAGACCCUGUGUUGAAGUAAAAAAUUAUAAAGACUUGGGGAUAUAGCCAGUGGUAAAAACCCCCUGGUUCAAGAAACAAAAACCAAUAGAAACAUAAAAAUGAAUGACUUCUAAAGCUGGCCAUGGGCACAAACUUAUAGUCCCCACUACGUGGGAGGCUGAGGCAGGAGGAUCUCUUGAGAUCAAGAGUUCGGUCCAGCCUAGGUAACAUAGCAAGUCUAUGUCUCUCUUUUUUUUUUUUUUUUUGGAGGGGGGAACCAGGGAUUGAACUCCAGGGCACUCAACCACUGAGCCACAUCCCCAGCUCUAUUUUGUAUUUUGUUUAGAGACAGGGUCUCACUGAGUUGCUUAGCACUCGAUUUUGUUAAGGCUGGUUUUGAACUCACGAUCCUCCUGUCUCAGCCUCCUGAGCUCCUCGGAUCACAAGCAUGCACCACUACACCCGGCUAAGACUCUGUCUCAAUAAAAAAGAGGGGAUGGGGUUGUGGCUUGCCUAGCAUGUGUGAAGCACUGGGUUAGACCCUCAGCAUUACAUACAAAUAAAUAAAAGGUAUUGUGUUUUAAAAAAAGAGAGAAAGAAAGAAAAAGAAGGAAAGAAAGAAAGAAAACCGACUGACUUCUAAAUUGGAGGACUCUUUCUCCCCUUCCCCCUCCCCCAGUACUACGGUACUCUAUACUGAGCUUGGCUCUUUUUAUUGUUUGAGACAGGAUCUGCUAAAUUGGGCAGGCUAGACUCAAAUUUUCAAUUCUCUUGCCUCAGCCUCCUUAGUCACUGGGAUUACAGGUAUGUGCCACAACACCUAGCUUGAAUUAUUUAAUUUUUUAAAAUUUUUUAAUUAUAGAUGGACACAAUGUCUUUAUUUUACUUUAUAUCAUGCUGAGGAUCAAACCCAGUGCCUCACGAACGCCAGGUGGCCGCUCUACUUGUGAGCCACAACCCCACCCUAAUUUUUUUUUUAAUUGAACCCAGGGGCACUCCACCACUGAGCCACAUCCCCAGCUCUAUUUUGUAUUUUAUUUAGAGACAGGGACUCACUGAGUUACUUAGGGCCUCACUAAGUUGCUGAGGCUGAUUUUGAACUCACAAUCCUGCCUCAGCCUCCCAAGCUGCCGGGAUUACAGGCGUGUGACAUCUCGCCUGGCUCCAAAUUAUUUAAUCUUUAUAACAAGAUUGUGCUUUGUUCCAGGUGAGCAAGAAUAAGAGUAUUAUACAAUACAGAGUUGUAAUCUUCUGCAUCAUGUUUUUUAGCUCACAGAUUCUUGCACAGCCUCACUAUUUGAAGAAAGUUCAUUCUGAAAAUCUGAAGCAGUUAAUGGGUAAAUAUGAUCAGUUAUCUCCACCAGGUUCUCAGCCUGAGAAGGGUAAGCUUUUGUUCACCUCAUCAUCCUCAUCUGUGCCCUCUGCAGUGUUUGGGGACCAGCUUCUUUCACUUAGUAUAGCAUCCUCCUGUUCCUCUACGACAUAUUAUGUAUCAGUACUGCAUUCCUUUUUAUCGUUGAAUAAUAUUCCAUUGUAUGAAUGUACCACAUUUUGUUUUAGUUGAUGGAAAUUGGGAUUGUUCCCACUUUGUAUCACUGAUAGUAUUUAUUCCAUUAUACAAGUCGUAACACCAUUUAGCUUAUCCAUUCACCUAUUAAUGACAUUUUCUUUCUUUCUGGAGCUGUUACAAAUGAAAUUACUGUAAACAUUGAUGUCCAAGCCUUUGUGUAGACAUAGAUCUCCUUUUCUUUGGAGUAGAUAUCUAGGAGUGAUAUACACUGGAUCAUUUGGUAAAUGUAUGUGUGACUUCUUAAGAAACUGCCUGUGAUGGUUUGGAUGUGAGGUGUCCCCCCAAAGCUCAUGUGUGAGACAAUGCAAAGAGGCUUAGAGGAUCAUGAGAGUCUUACCUAGUCAGUGAACUACUCCCUGAUGGGAUGAGCUGUGUGGUAGGGUGUGGCUGGGAAGGUGGGAGAUGGGAGGUGGGCGUGCCCUUGGGGUAUAUUUUUGCACCUGGUGAGUGGAGUCUCUGCUUCCUGACAUAAUUCCUGAGCCCCUUCCUCCGCCACACUCUUGCAGCCUCACCUUGUGCCCUGAGGAAGGAGCCAGCUGUCUGUGGACUGAGACCUCUGAAAACGUGAGCCCCCAAUUACACUUUUUCUCCUUAAAAUUGCUCUUGCCAGGUCUUUUGGUCACAGCAACCAAAAAGCUGACUGAAGCUCUGCCAGACAAGUGAGUUGCGGUAGCCACGCCUGUGGUCCCAAUGGACCAGGCUGAAGCAGGAGGAUCACAAGUUCAAGGCCUGCCUGGGCAACUUAAUCCUGUCUCGAAAUAUAAAAUAAAAAGGACUUGGGGGGCUGGGGCUGGGGCUGAGCAGUAGAGCACUCACCUAGCAUGUUCGAGGCCCUGGGUCUGAUCCUCGGCACCACACAAAAAUAAAUAAAAUAAAGAUAUUGUUUAUCUACUACAACUGAAAAAUAAAUUUUAAAAAAAGGACUGCAAGAUUAUGUAGCUCUGUGGUAGAACACCUGUGGGCUUAGCCCCAAUGCCUGAUUUCAAAGUGGUGGUGCCCUUUUCUACCCCUCAGCCCCUCCCAGGAGCUCCAGCUGUCCACUCUCAUGAGAGGGGGACUCCAGUCUUCACUUCAGGCCAUCUUUACUUCAGGCCUCCUGGAGGGUGGGGAUGGCUCCCUGUGGUUUCACUUCACGUUUCCUUUUUCUUUCCUUUUUUUUUUUUUUUUAAUAAUACUAGGGAUUGAACUGAGGGAUAUGUGCUUUACCACUGGACUACAUCACUAGCCCUUUUUAGUGUUUGAGACAGAGUCUUGCUAAGUUGCUUAGUGCCUCACCAAGUUGCUGAGGCUAGCCUCAAACUUGUGAUCCUCCUGCCUCAGCCUCCCAAGUCCCUGGGAUUACAGGCGUGGGCCACUGCGCCAGCUUAGUUCACAUUUUCUUUUUAUUUUUUUUUCCUGUGUUUUUUAUUGGUGCAUUAUAGUGGUUCAUAAUGGUGGGGUUUGUCUUUACAUAGUUUACAUUUUCUUGAUGAUAAUGAUCUUCAACAUCUUUUCAUGUGUUUAUUGGCCAUUUCUAUUUAUUCUUUUCAGAAAUAUUUCUUAAAAUAUUUUGCCUAUAUUUAACCAUUUGUUAUUUUAUUAUUAUCCUAGUCAGAAUUUUUGUGCUAUUUACAUGGAAUAGGAGCUGAUUUUUGUAACUCAUCCAAUUGGGUUUCAUUUAGAUAAAAGUGGAUUUCAUUGGCAAGAGAAGAGCUGGUCAGCAGUGACUCUAGAGUGCUGUGCGGCUUGUUCUUGUGAAAGGGGAAACGCAGCUCUGCACAGGUUUGCUGCUGCCUCCUGCCUUACAGGUGAAACCUCACCGAUAGCACCCAGGGCAUUAUCAUUCCCUAGUGCACUUUCUGCUGUAUUGGUACUUAAUCAGGGCUUGAGGUAGGAGAAGAGAGAGAAUCAGCAAUCCUGUUGCUUGUCCCCUCUCCCCUGCAAAAAGAAUCUGACAAGCAAGCAGAAACAGCAUGAAUUACACACAGCCAAGCAGGCCUGAGAUGCAGCUACCUGGAGGCCAGGGCAGGAGACCACAGGGUGGGGCCGCCUGCAGCCUGGUGAACCCUGUCUCAGUGAAAACAGACUAGGGCUGGGCACGUGGCUCAGUGUGAGAACGCCUGCCUCCUCGCCUGCUCAGGCCCUGUGCUCCAUCGCCAGGACCACAGACAAUCCCCUCCUACGUUCCUCCUGACACUCUCUACACCAGGUAUCCCCAAGUGCCGUCUACUCGGUUUCCUCCCUCAGCCCUCACAUCAGUACUUUGAGAGAACAAACCAGAAGGUAUUCUAGAAUGCUUUUCCCACCAAUCAGAAGUAACGGAAUGAAACCAUAGCGCUGGGCAGGAGAAACAGAACUCUGUUCCCUCAUAUGCCUUCAUGCCCUAUACCCGAGUAGUUUUCGUCUUAGAGCUGAAUUUCUGAUUUCCAGCAUCCCC
rnacentral:lncRNA from 1 species